ACUUGGCUGGCUCAGUCGGUAAAGCACAUGAAUCUUGAUCCUGGGGUUGUGGAUUCAAGUCCCACACUGGGUG
rnacentral:tRNA from 1 species